rnacentral:rRNA from 1 species
ACUCCUACGGGAGGCAGCAGUGGGGAAUAUUGGACAAUGGGCGCAAGCCUGAUCCAGCCAUGCCGCGUGAGUGAUGAAGGCCCUAGGGUUGUAAAGCUCUUUCAGCGAGGAGGAUAAUGACGUUACUCGCAGAAGAAGCCCGGCUAACUUCGUGCCAGCAGCCGCGGUAAUACGAAGGGGGCGUAGCGUUGUUCGGAAUCACUGGGGCGUAAAGCGCACGUAGGCGGACUUUUAAGUCAGGGGUGAAAUCCCGGGGCUCAACCCCGGAACUGCCUUUGAUACUGGAAGUCUUGAGUCCGAGAGAGGUGAGUGGAACUCCGAGUGUAGAGGUGAAAUUCGUAGAUAUUCGGAAGAACACCAGUGGCGAAGGCGGCUCACUGGCUCGGUACUGACGCUGAGGUGCGAAAGCGU